GUAACGGCUCACCUAGGCGACGAUCCCUAGCUGGUCUGAGAGGAUGACCAGCCACACUGGAACUGAGACACGGUCCAGACUCCUACGGGAGGCAGCAGUGGGGAAUAUUGCACAAUGGGCGCAAGCCUGAUGCAGCCAUGCCGCGUGUAUGAAGAAGGCCUUCGGGUUGUAAAGUACUUUCAGCGGGGAGGAAGGGAGUAAAGUUAAUACCUUUGCUCAUUGACGUUACCCGCAGAAGAAGCACCGGCUAACUCCGUGCCAGCAGCCGCGGUAAUACGGAGGGUGCAAGCGUUAAUCGGAAUUACUGGGCGUAAAGCGCACGCAGGCGGUUUGUUAAGUCAGA
rnacentral:rRNA from 1 species